GCCCCCCCCCACACACACACAAACUAAGAGGCGUUAGGCUGAGACGCUGAAAGUCCGGAUUUAAAGUGCAGAAAAUUAAGCCAUUGAAUCUGCCUGUCCAUGACGUACAAAGACACACUAUGAGCCAGUAUGAUCCGACCAGACCUUACAUCAGCAUUGAGGAGUUGUCGGAGAAGAAAGAGGCUGAUUGAAGCGGGACAGAUGACAUGGAUCCAUCCUUCCACAGCCAGGAGCACACCGACCUGUGUCCCACACUUCAUAUAAGACUGGAAGCUACACUGGAUCUCACAGCUACACACCACAACCGUCUACACACUGGAGAAGAUUCAGACAGAGUCCCACAAAGAAGUCAUGACCCAGAGGCUGCAGAGAAACAUUUCAAGCCUCAUCUGAGUUUUUGUACAAUAUUUUUGCUGUAUGUAAAUAAAGCUUUCACUCCACA